rnacentral:rRNA from 1 species
CAGUCGCCGCGGUAAUACGUAGGGUGCAAGCGUUAAUCGGAAUUACUGGGCGCAAAGCGUGCGCAGGCGGUUCGUUAAGACAGAUGUGAAAUCCCCGGGCUUAACCUGGGAACUGCAUUUGAGACUGUAUGGCUAGAGUGUGUCAGAGGGGGGUAGAAUUCCACGUGUAGCAGUGAAAUGCGUAGAUAUGUGGAGGAAUACCGAUGGCGAAGGCAGCCCCCUGGGAUAACACUGACGCUCAUGCACGAAAGCGUGGGGAGCAAACAGGAUUAGAUACCCCCGUAGUCCCUGUCUCUUAUAC